AAGUCGUAACAAGGUAACCGUAGGUGAACCUGCGGUUGGAUCAUUAACAAAUUGAUUGAGGAGAGUUUUUUAAAACUCUCUUCUUUUACCCCUUGUGGAUUGUUUAACAGAGAUUUUGGGUGCCUUUGGGCAUCCCUAGUCAACCAAUUAGAACCUUGUAGAAAAACUUGUCUAUAAAAAAAAAAGUUUAAUUAAAAAACAACUUUUGACAACGGAUCUCUAGGCUCUC
rnacentral:misc_RNA from 1 species